GUUCAUUUGUAGACUCUGCGCAGUGACCUCUGCAGAACAUACACUCGAUAGCAGCACACGGAGGAGGAGCACUGCAAACUGGGGCUCUCGCUCUGCAGAGCUCUGGAGCCUGCGCUCCCCUUCAGAAUGAGGACAGUCGCCUUACAGCCGGAACCGUAAGGUCAGAUGUGCAUCAAGACUGCAAGUCCAGCUGCAUGUGAGGCUUCCCAGACCAUGCAGAACCCCAAGUGGGUGUGCUCUGGGGGCAAGGCAAGGACAGACCACGGUGGGCUGCAUCGAAUGAGACCCUAUUUUCUGGAGGCAGUCCCUAAGUGCCUCCACUGUGAGCAAGUCCUUGUACCGGAUGGCUUCCAGUAGCAGACCUAAGCCUGACGUCUUCCUUUCAGCUUGGCAAAUAGGAGAAGCACAUGAGGUCACCUGGCUUGCAGCUCAAGUCUAACUUGGAGACUCUUCCAAUUCCUCUCGAGUUAUCCCGAGCUACCGAAAUCGGCGUGUGUGUUUUCGCGCUGAGUUGAUGUACCCCUUUUGGUUACAUUUCUACGAGUCGGACUAACGAGAACGGAGCCCUCCGCGUUUCUGCCGCUCUCCAUUCGCUCCUGCAGCCCCCCCCGGCCGUAGCGCUCCGUACGGACCCACCGGUCGGGCCCCGACGGCAGCGCACUGCGGGCAGCCCCGGCCGCAGCCCCUCCGCCGUUCUCUCUCCGUCCGAGGUCGUUUCUCUCUCUCUCCUUUGCAAACGUUUUCCUAAAAAUAAAACUUCCACAGAAAUGUUUUAAGACGAGGUUCGCGAGGAAACGGUUUAAUUUUCACCAUAUGUCGCCACAGAUUAAAGAAAAAAAAAAAAAAUCUUUCCGCUGAAGCUACCAAAACCAAAAAAAAAGACUUAAUCUAAGAAUGCGUUCUCCUUAAUCCGUCCUCCCCCCAACACCCUGUGGGCCAUUUUACGGGCUCCAAAUAAAUCUUUCAGGUGGCAGCGAGGCGAAGAAGCGGCGCAGUGAUGACGGAGGAGCAGCCCCUGCCCCGCGUUAAUGCCACCGACGGGUGGGUCCGCGGCAGCCGCCCACCGCCGGGACGGAGGGACCCAUCUGAAUGAAAAUCUAUUAGCCCUCCUCUCAGAGACGGGAGCCGCGGAAAUCGAUAAAGAGCAGAGAAAGGGAACAAGGCGCAG
rnacentral:lncRNA from 1 species